AAGACUGUACUUUCAGGGAUCAUUUCUAUAUUUUGUUACUAGAGAAGUUUCUCUGAACGGGCAGAGCAUUGGAAACCAUGAGGAGGAGAUGCAGUGUUCUCCCCUGAGCGUGAAGCCGGCUUUUGGUGUUGCUUUUGCAAUUGCUGUCAUUGAUGAUCAUUCUUCUCUCUCUUUGGGAGACUAAGAGGGAGAGGAUGCAGGGGG